CGAACGCUGGCGGCGUGCCUAAUACAUGCAAGUCGAGCGCGGGAAGCGGACAAUCACCCUUCGGGGUGUGCGUCCGUGGAACGAGCGGCGGAUGGGUGAGUAUCACGUGGGCAACCUGCCUGUAAGAUUGGGAUAACUCGCGGAAACGUGAGCCAAUACCGAAUGAAGUCUUUCACCGCCUGGUGAAAGGAUGAAAGAUGGCUCUUGAGCUAUCACUUACAGAUGGGCCCGCGGCGCAUUAGCUAGUUGGUGGGGUAAAGGCCUACCAAGGCGACGAUGCGUAGCCGACCUGAGAGGGUGAUCGGCCACACUGGGACUGAGACACGGCCCAGACUCCUACGGGAGGCAGCAGUAGGGAAUCUUCCGCAAUGGACGAAAGUCUGACGGAGCAACGCCGCGUGAGUUGAUGAAGGUCUUCGGAUCGUAAAACUCUGUUGUCAGGGAAGAACAAGUUGUGUUCUAACAGGACAUGACCUUGACGGUACCUGACCAGAAAGCCCCGGCUAACUACGUGCCAGCCGCAGC
rnacentral:rRNA from 1 species